GUUGUCGACUAGACGUAAGAAGUUUUAAGAACAAAGUCUUAUUUACAUUGACAUGGCCUAGGAACAGUGGGUUAACUGGUCUAGGAACAGUGGGUUAACUGGUCUAGGAACAGUGGGUUAACUGGUCUAGGAACAGUGGGUUAACUGGUCUAGGAACAGUAGGUUAACUGGUCUAGGAACAGUGGGUUAACUGGUCUAGGAACAGUGGGUUAACUGCCUUGUUCAGAACAACGGAUCUUUACCUUGUCAGCUCGGGGAUUCGAUCUAGACACUUUUUAGUUACUGGCCCAACACUCUAACCACUAGGCUACCUGCCGAUCCUAGAUCAUAAUGAAUCAGAUUACAUGGAGAGGGGGGACCUGAUCCUAGAUCAUAAUGAAUCAGAUUACAUGGACAGGGGAGACCUGAUCCUAGAUUAGCACUCCUCAUCUGAGACACUGCCUAUAUGAAUAAGGAAUGCUGUUGUUAAGUCUAGUUACAGCAGGUGUUUACUGCCAUCUAGUGGAAGAUACUAAUAAAACACUACAUUAUCAGGCUGGGGAGACGGCUGAGUGCAGGAUCCAUGGUGAGAUGACAGAGCAGAAAACACUAUAUUAUCAGGGUGGGGAGACGGCUGAGUGCAGGAUCCAUGGUGAGAUGACAGAGCAGAAAACACUAUAUGGAGAGAAGUACAAAUAAAUUAUUUCUGAACAAUAAAGGACAGAGUAAGAUAAUAAAUAGUAAUAAAUAAAUAAUAAAUACCUGGAAUGACAUAUUAUUACAUAUUAUUACUAGUCUCACAGGGUUCUGUCGUCAUUAUUUUACCAUACACCAGUGACGUCAGAAGUGACGUGUUCCUCAUAUGAAAGUGAAAGUAAGAGUGUGGUCUACGCCUUUAUAAACCAGCUGUUGAAACUGUAGCGCACAUUUCUCUGGUUACUGUUAUAUAAAGUGAAAGUAAGAGUGUGGUCUACGCCUUUAUAAACCAGCUGUUGAAACCGUAGCGCACAUUUCUCUGCAACAUUAGAAGCAGGAUAAAUGUGUUGAUUUGAAGGACAGACGGACAGACUGGUAAGUCUUGGCUACAUAUAACUAUUAUAAAGUUAGGUCGUAGUCAGACAUUCAAUAGACAGAGUAACCCUGAGAUAUGAUUCUUUAUCAUGCGCCCGGUUUCCACGAUGGAAUUUAGGUGUAACGUUGGGAACGCAUGAUAAGUGAGCAAACGAUAAUUAACAGAAUACAAAUUGGAGUUGAGCUAUUUUACAAAUAAAAUGGUGCGUAAGCUCGUUUACAUGGGUUUACCCUCCACUACAUCCCCGUUGAUGCGGUGUGCAGCGUAGAGUGCAUAGUCAUUUAUUUUUAUUUCACUUAUAUUUAACUCGGCAAGUCAGAACACAUUGUUAUUAACAUUGACGACCUACCCCGGCCAAACCUUGACGACGCUGGGCCAAUUGUGCUCCACCCUAUGGGACUCCCAAUCAUGCAGCCUGGAUUCUAACCAGGUCCUGCAGUGACGCAAGAGGCGGGACUCUGCACCACUCGGGAGGCGGCUGAGCUGACACAGAAAGUCAAGUUGUUGUUUUGUACAGGAUCCAUGGUGAGACAACAGAGCAGAAAACACUACAUGGAGAUGACUGACAAAUAGGGGUCAGUGCUCUAAAAUGAGUCUCUCUGGGGAGAGAGAGGAGGGUGGCCCUGUCUCUAAAAUGAGUCUCUCUGGGGAGAGAGAGGAGGGGGGCCCUGCCUCUAAAAUUCAUCUCUCUGAGGGACAUGACACCAAAGAUAAGAGCGCCCGGCCCGGGAUUCGAACCAGCCACCCUUCGGUCACAGCUCCAACUCCAACCUGAAUUAAUCUUCAGAAAUAAGCCUGAGUUAAUCUGCCAAAAUGAAGACAAAAUGCUAUGCAGUUAUACAUAAAUAUUAUACAUAAAUCAUUGCCAAAAGCACAAGACAUACUGUUGCAUGUAGGUCUGUAUUAUUUAUGGGUUGAUCACAUAGAAAUAUAAAAACAUUAUUUUUAACUACUGCAAUGCAAUUACAUGUGGCUCAGGAACCACUGACUCACUGCAUUAUUCUAUAGUAUUAUCAAGACACCUGCUGUUAACUCUUAACUACUUAGGACAGCUCACCAGGUGUCCUAAAUAUCUACUGACUAGGUGGGUAGGUAAUUUAGGCAAUGGGUAGGUAACUAGGUCAUUUAUACCCAUAAGUGUAAAAUGUCUUUAUUCUCAGCACUUAUACGACCAAUUUUCUACUCAGACACUUUGUGGAUAUGGACCCAGAUCUCAACAUAUUGUCAUAAAAAAACUGAAUGUUUGAUCUCAAAAUGUUGUUAUAAUUUUGUAAAAAUGUUUGUUAAACAUAAUAAUAAAAAAUGAAUAUUACUAAUGUAA